rnacentral:tRNA from 1 species
AGGGUUGUAGUUAAUUAAUAACAUUUGAUUUGCAUUCAAAAAAUACUAUUUAUUUAGUCUACCUUG